rfam:Ovis aries breed Texel chromosome 9, whole genome shotgun sequence.
UCCCUGGUGGCUCAGACCAUAAAGCAUCUGCCUGCAACACAGAAGACCCAGGUUCGAUCCCUGGGUCGGGAA